GAAUAGUGACUCCCAGCUAGUGAUCAAUCAGGUAACUGGGGUAUAUCAGGCCAGAGGUCCAACCAUGCAGGAUUAUUUAGCAAAGGUAAAAGCCAUAGAAGCCGAACUCAAGGGUCGGGGAACCAUCGUCAAAUACCAAAGAAUACCUCGAGAGAGAAAUGAGGAAGCAGACCUGCUUAGUCGGUUGUCCAAGGAAGAAUUAGAACAGCUCCUUGACGA
rnacentral:lncRNA from 1 species